rnacentral:rRNA from 1 species
UACGUAGGGGGGCAAGCGUUGUCCGGAUUCAUUGGGCGUAAAGAGCGUGUAGGCGGCCAGGUAGGUCGGUUGUGAAAACUGGAGGCUCAACCUUCAGAGGUCGACCGAAACCAUCUGGCUAGAGUCCGGGAGAGGAGAGUGGAAUUCCUGGUGUAGCGGUGAAAUGCGCAGAUAUCAGGAAGAACACCCGUGGCGAAAGCGGCUCUCUGGAACGGUACUGACGCUGAGACGCGAAAGCGUGGGGAGCGAACAGGAUAGAUA